CAUCAUGAAUGCAAGAAGACAGAUAAGCUAGAUUUCAACAUACUGAUCCACUUUAUUCUGAAGAGCAGGAACAGCAGGAGACUGUCUGGAAACAGGAGGGAAAAGCUCAUCACAGACUGGCAUCACAAGCGAUGCAGAACUACAGCUGUUCAGAAAAAAGAGCUGCUGCAAAAUGAGUGCUACAGUUUACUUACACAUCAAUAAGACUAUUGAUAAGGAUAACGGAUGACUGUAAACUGAUGCCUGGUGUUUUUUCGAUGUACCCUGAAAUGGAGUGCUGUCCUGCCAUGGGAUGUUUCUUGCCUUCCUCCCACAUCCAUGGUCCUGUUAUGGAGACCGAGUGAAGACCGUACCUCCUAAUAGCACCACCUCUGAUCCACCCACUGAUGACAUCACUUCUGGCAAUCUCUAAUGGCAUCCUAUUCACUCCAGAACCCACCUCUACAGACAUCACUUCUUUUUCCUCCCUGACUCCAUCUCUUCCUGCUUCUGCAAUAUAUAAACUAGAGAACUUCCUUGUUAGCCAGUUCCAUUUUGAAAUCUGUUUGUAAACAUGUGUGUUUUGUUUUGCUGCCUGAUUUUCGGCAUAUAGGGUGGCCAUUCCCAAACCUUUUUCUGCCUCCGACUAAUUUUCUAUCACAACCUAAUGCUACUAAGAUAUUUUUUGUCUUGCAAUGGAUAAAAUUGGUUAAACAAUAGAAAUUGGCAAUUCAAGAAUGAUUUGUUCACUUUGAAAGACUGUUUUCAGGAUAUGAUAUGAACUGAUUCGUGAACAUAAUAGAUCGAUUCAGUAAAGCUUAAAGGGAUUGCUAAAGCACAUUCAUGUUAUGCACAAUGUCAUUAGCAUCUUUCAUUUUGCUGAUGCUAGUAGAUGUUUAAAGCACAUAUACAAGAUCCAUCUGAAUCAUGAGUCUCAACUCAUUUGAUUCAUUAACUAGUCACUACCUGACUCCCAGUCUAAUGAUUCUCAUUCAUUAGAUCUGUAAAAGUGUCAUUACCCGAGAGUCAGUCUAAUGAUUUUUGUUCAUUUGGUUCACGAACAAAUCACUGCCCAAGAAUCAGUCUAACGUUCUUGUUCAUUUGAUUUGUAAAAGAAUCAUUAUAAGUUGCACAAUUCUUAUGAUUCUGUAAUGAAAUACGAGGGGAAAUUAAGCUAAAG